GAUGAAGAACGUAGCAAAAUGCGAUAAGUAAUGUGAAUUGCAGAAUUCAGUGAAUCAUCGAAUCUUUGAACGCACAUUGCGCCCGCCAGUAUUCUGGCGGGCAUGCCUGUUCGAGCGUCAUUUCAACCCUCAAGCACAGCUUGGUGUUGGGACUCGUGUUAAUUCGCGUUCCUCAAAUUGAUUGGCGGUCACGUCGAGCUUCCAUAGCGUAGUAGUAAAACCCUCGUUACUGGUAAUCGUCGCGGCCACGCCGUUAAACCCCAACUUCUGAAUGUUGACCUCGGAUCAGGUAGGAAUACCCGCUGAACUUAAGCAUAUCAAUAAGCGGAGGA
rnacentral:misc_RNA from 1 species